ensembl:lncRNA
AUCUGUACAGAAAAUAGCCCCCCAGGUCCUCACCUCAUCUCAUCCAGCCAGGUGUUUACCUCAACUUCUCCCCUGCAAGAAAUGGGAACUUUGGUCUCUGGAGAAACCGUAGGGAGAAAAUUAUCAAAGAAAUACUUACAAAGGUCUCCUAAACCCAAAGUUCAUGUGCUCCCAGACUGACAGCCCACGAGCUCCCGGCAUAGUGAAUGAAAUAAGCUCGUAGAGCCUCUGGACUCAACAGCAGACAUGGGGAGCAUGAGGGUGGGGCUAGAUUGAAAAUGAGGGAUUAAGUGAAAGUAUAUGCGUGGUAGGCCUCUGAGUAUCAGCACACACAGACUUAUACCCCCAGGCAAAAACAAACUGAACAACUGCAGAAAAAGGGCCUGCAAAUACUUGACAUUUUUUGUUUCCUUGGGGAGGAAAAAGUCAUCUUUCCCCCACUUACAUCACCCUACGGUGAAGCCUGUUAGUUAAUAAGCCUUAUGCAUGGAUAGAACUUGCAAUCAGCUUUCCAGUAUGUCACUCUUAACUGUGAAUAGAUUGUUAAGGGCCAUCAAACAUUUGAGGAAACUUCCAACAUGAAAGGCAGAAACCAAAACAGAAAAUUGAAACCAAGGAAGCUUUUUAAAAAUUUCAGGAGGGGAAAAGCCAUAAUUAUUAUUCUCAAAACUCAAAGAGGGAACAUAUUGUGUCUGUGAAGAAAGUACUAUGAAAAGGAACAAUUGGAGAACAAAAGAGUUGUUAGAAAUUAAAAAUAAGUAAAUGGAUUAUUUCCUUCUGAGAACUGGAGGACUAGAGAACCAAAUAGGAGAGAGGCUGUGUGUCCAUCCUUAUGUAAUUGAAUUUUGAAUUGUGAAUAUGUUACCUAUCGAAUUGGAUAGGAGAAAGUUUGGAAAUGAUGUUAAGAAAAUCUUGCAAAGAGAUUAAAUUAUUUAAAAAUAAAAAGAAAUGGAUGAUUAAGGAGAAAAAAAUAAAAUUAAGGAUCAAUCUAGAAGUUCCAAUAUCCAACAGGAGUUACAGAAAGAACAGGAAAAAUGGUAGUGAUGUUAUUAAAAAUUCAAGAAAAUAAUGUUGAAUUUUCAGAUCGAAAGGGCUCACCAAGUGCCUAGCACGGUGAAUGAGCACCAAGGCUUAUCACCGUGAAAUUUCAGAACUCCAGAGAUAAAAAGAAUGUCCUAAAGACUUCAAGAGAGAAUAAAAACAAGUUAUGUGCAAAGGUUUAGGAAAAAGAGAUCAAACUGACCGUUUGAUAGCAACACUGGAAGAUAAAAGACAAUGGAGUGAUGUCUUAAAAAUUCUGAAGGAAAAUUCCUUUCAACUCAAUCAUUUUCAGAUUUGCAAGUUCUCGAAAAAUUUAUUUCCUAUGCUUUCAAGGGACGCUACCAAAGAAUGUGCUUUACCAAGUAAGGAGUAAAGUCUCCAGGAAACAAGGAUCCAACAUGGAGAAGUAAAGGGAAUAAUUCGGAUGAUGCAGAGAAGUCCCAGAAAGACAGCCGUGCACAGGCUGAGACAGCCAGCGGUGCAGACCAGAGCAGCAGAAUGGAAGGCUCCAGGGGAGAAAAUGGAUGGGUUAUCUAAUACAUGUGAUUGAGUGAACAGAAUAUGUAUUAAUAAACUUAUGUGGAAAGACUUAAUAAUAAAAAUAGAGUGUGAGGGGCUGGCCCCAUGGCCGAGUGGUUAAGUUCGCGUGCUCCGCUGCAGGCGGCCCAGUGUUUCGUUGGUUCGAAUCCUGGGCACGGACAUGGCACUGCUCAUCAAACCACGCUGAGGCAGCGUCCCACAUGCCACAACUAGAAGGACCCACAACGAAGAAUAUACAACUAUGUACCCGGGGGGCUUUGGGGAG